UUUUUUUUUUUUUUUUGUUAAGGCAAUAGAUAUAUUUACUUGAAUUUGUUUUAAAAAGAAAAGGAAUGAAAAAGGAUAUUAAUCUUUGAAGUUUAUAUUUCAAACAAAAAAAAAAUAUAAAUACUCCUAUUUUUUACUAAUGAUUUUUUUCAAAUCUUCUUUAAAAUGAGAACUUAAAUUUUGAAGAGAAAUAUUCAAAUUUUAAAAAUAAAACUAAACUUGUUUUUUUUUAUUAUCAAUUUAGGUUUUUGAAAAUGACCCAAAUUGACCUAGGAAUAGUGUUUAUAAACUUAAAAUCUCAAAGUUUAAAAACAAAAUGAUUAUUGUGAGAGUAACUCUAAGUUAUUAGGUCAAAUAAUAGAAACGUUAUUCCCUCCUUAUCAUUAAUGGACUCACCGCAACAUCGUUAUAAAUCUAAUUUAUCACUAAAACGGUAUUGAUUACAUCACAUGUUCUAAAUAAGUUUUAUGAAACUUGGGUUUUAAAUUUUAAAGUUCGAGUUUAAUAACGUUGUUUUAAUCGUGGAUAAACUUUAAACUAUUGGCUUAAUUAACAAAAAAAAAAAAAAAGUCCAUUCAUCAUUGUCGCUAUUGUUAUUAUUAUUAAUAGAGUCACCACAACCUCGUUUCAAAUCUAACUUAUCAACGAAACAAUAUAGUUUGUCCUACACAUUUUAAAUAAGUUUUAUGGAACUUUAACUGUAUUAGCACUAUUUAAACAGUAGAUAAACUCUAAAUUAUUGUCUCAAUUAAUCAAAUAAAAACGUCCAUUCAUCAUUGUCAUUGUUGUCAUUAUUAAUUUAGCCACCUACAACAUUGUUCAAAAUCUAAUUAAGCAGCCAAACAGUGCCCUCACACAUGUCAAAUAAGUUUUAUAAAAUAAAUAAACUACAUUUUUUUCAAGGAAUAAAUAGAUAAAGUACUAAAACUCAUCGGUAUUUUUCUAGUCAUUCAUUAAUAUAGCACACUAUUAUCUUUUAAAAUUGAUUCAUAUCCUUCCUUAUACUUUUAAUUUUUUUAUAAAAAUUUAGUCCAUAGUGUAACAAUUUAAUCACGUAACUUAAAAGUUGAUUUCUAUUAUUUUUACAUAGUAGAAUUUGCAUUAUAUAAAAGUAUUGAUUCUAUUAUGAAAAAAUGUGAUUUAAUGUGAAGAAGGAAAUAGUUAGAAGUAGAUAGUCCAUUAAUGAUGAAUGAAGGAAGAAGGGAGUGAGUAAGAUAAUGAAUUUAGAAAAGAGGGGGAGGGGAGAAUGAAAAAGAAAAUGGUGAGUUAUUGAAGUGAUAAGUCAAACAUUAACUCCAAAAGAUUUGUGAGCAGCCUUUCUGGUUUACCCAAGAAAUCUCCCUUCUGAACAAAAUCAAGUGCUCUUCCUAUAAAGAAAACCCAACAAAAUCAAUUUUACUUUUUUUUUCUGCAGCUUUUUUUGGAACUUGUUUUACUAAAUAAACAUCAAUUCUCAGGUCUUUUUUUCUUUUUCUCUUCUUUUGUUAUAGCCACCGAACCACCGCAUGCGGCGGCGCUCUCUCUCCCGUCACCACAAACCACAAACCACAAACUUCAAUUUCUUCCUUUUUACUACAAUUGCUUUUCUUACUUUUAGGUUUUCCGUAUAGUUUUCUGACAUGUUUCUCCAGUGAUUCUAAUGAAAAUAGAAGUUUAGUAAUUAUAAUUGGUAACGAUUUUAAGAUAAAAAUGAAUGAUAUAGCAACAUGUAAAAUGGAUGCCAAUUAAUAUAGCAAAUCCUAUAGACUCGGUUAUAUUUGCAACUUUUUUAAAAUAUUGCUAUAUAUGCCGAUAUUUUGAAUCUAGUUGCUACAUUUACGAACGUCCAUAUAUUUUUUUUUUCUAAAUUUUGAGUUUUGUUUCAACUUUAUAUACAUUUUAAGGUCGAAACUCUUUAACUUUAAUUUUUACUAAACACGAGUCUCGGUUUUUAAAGUUAAUAUCUAUCAGUUGAUUUAAAUUAAUUUAAUUAUUUUGUACACAUAAUUAUUUUAAAUUAUUAAUGAAUAGAAAAGUUAAGACGUGAGACUAAAACAAGCAUUAAUAGUUAUUAAGAGAUAAAAUUAUAAAAUAAUGAACUUUUUCCAUUGGAUAAGCUAAAAAUUGGUAGAAGAAGAAGUACAUUUUGAAUUUAAGAACUAAGUAAGAGACAAAAAUCAAAAUUUAGGAGUAAAAGUAUAACAUUUAGGGACUCAUGUGAAGAAAGAAAAAGGAAAAAAGGGUUAUACAUAAAACAUGCAUUUAUGUAUUUUCCAUUAUCAUUAAUACGUUUUUUAAGAAAACAAUGUUCAAAUCAAUUUGAUAGUUGAGAAUUCCACAAGCUUCUCACGUAUUUUAUUUGACUUAGUUGAUAAGAUUGAUACCAAACCUAACUCCACAAAUUUAUCUAUUUUCCCUAAAAAGAAAAAAAAAUUAAUCCCAAAAUAUCGUAUAAUAUAAUUUGCAUUCAAUGAACUUGUGCAACUUUCAAAUUUUUAUUUUAAUCAACAUACUUUUAAUUAAUAAAACGUAUCCACAAUCACUUUCUUAAAAAAACUAUGAUCACAUGUCUGAUGUCCUCAACCUAUUUACACAUGUAAUUAGUAUUUUGAAGGCAAUUUCAAAUUGUUAUUCAUUCUAACUCUGUUGGUGUAAUUUCAAAAGCUAAAAUUUGAUUACCAUGUUUUGCCUACAUAUUCUAAAAUACCCAUAACAUUAGUUUAGACAUUAUAGUAAUUAUCACCACAGUUUUUACUAUUAUUAUAAAAUGAAAAUUUACGUUAACUACGUCCUGAUUACUGUUAUAGUGAUAACAAUUUUAAUUUUAAUUAGCAUAUUUACGCGCAAUAGUAAAAUUUUGAAUUAUAUUAAUAAUUUAUUAAUAUACUGUUGUUUUUAUUUUUGGGAGGAAUAAGAGAGUUAAAAUGGGAAAAGAAAAAGGUAAAAAGAAUUAUGCUUAAAAUAGAUUUGAAAAAUAAUGAGAGAUUAAUGAGGAGACAAUAAUUAACCUAACGAAACAAUAAUAAUAAAUAGGAAAAAGAGAGAGAGCGAGAGAGGAGGUGACGGGUGAGAAAAGACAGGAAGGAACGGUAACAGGUCAACUAUGGGAUGACAGUGUUGGCCAAUUGUCACGCUUUUAGGAGCGUUGUAAUUAUUGAAGUCAUGCAAAUUUAAAAUUAAUUAUUAUAUAUCAUUUAUUAUUCCUUAUUCUUUUUUUUUUUCUUUUUAAACAAACAAUUAAAUAAAAUCAGGUAAAAUGUCUGUGCCUUGAAACCCCAAAAAGCCUUUAUAUCACAUUUCCCCACUUCUCCUCGUUAUAUUGCAUUCAUCCUCUCAUUCAAAACAUCACCCUCAUUCUUUUCAUUUAUUCAUCUCUCAAACUAAAUAAUAUUUCUAAUUAUUCGUACCUUUCCAUUACAAUUUUUAUCUUAUUAUCCAAGACUACUGAUCAUAAUCUAUUUAGUAAAUAUUUAAAUCAACUUCGAUAUUGACGAGUAACAAUUGUAACACUUAAAAAUACUUUUUAAAAAGUAAUGGAUUUAAAAUUUUCGAAACUAGCCUCUUUCGAUUUUCAACUGCCAGACUUCAGUUUUGUCGAUCAACUUGAUUUUUCGAUCUAUCAUGUUUGCUUCUAUGCGAAAUUACUGCUUAUAUUGAUUAUUUAACAUAUUAUCAACUUUCACGAAUUCAACCGACUUUUUAAGUGUUGUUUUUGUGACAAAUAAUGAAUGCAUUCAUAUAAUCAACAUAAUUAUUUAAAUUGAAGUUUUUAAUGAACAUAAAACUAUACAAAUUUUAGAGUUUAGGGUUUGUUGGAAAUUAAAUCAAAACUUCAAGUGAUUUAUUACCCAUUUUUUUAAAAGUUUUGAGAUAUAAAAGAUUUAAUUUAACCUUAAUAAUAUGUUUUUUUUCACUAAAAAAAGAGACAUUGAUGAAUGAAUAAUUGUUGCAAACCUUAUUCAAUGAUAUCGUAAUGAAAAUUCACUGUUAGGAAAGCAUAAUGAUAAUCAUAACUUCCUUUUUUCAACCUUCACAAUAAUUCCAAUUUUGCUUCUUAUCAAAAAUAUAAAAAUAAUAAUUAUUUGGAUGAUAUGACUUUUAGAAUAAAAAUAAAGUCAUGUGAAUGGACUAAUUUUAUUUUAGCAACCAAAUUUCAAAGUUAGGCUAUGUAAAUCAUUUCGUGUAAAGUGCCCACAUUCUCAAUUUGGUAAAUAGACACACACAUCAAAAUACCUAUAAAUUUUGUCUCCACCUAACAUCAACUUUUACUUCCACACAAAUCUUUUUAAUAAAAUUUUAAUCCAACUUAACGAUUACAUGAUUAGCUAAAAUCUUAAGUUUUAUCUAGUACAUCUCUACCUUAACGUUUUCUAUUUUACUCUAUUUUUUAAGAUCUUAACUUUGUUGUUAGAUUUCAAAAUAUAUAAUACUAAAUUGAAAAUAAUAAAAUAAAGUAGUUUUUGUUUAUUUUUAUCACGGUUUAAAUAAAAUUUUAGAAAGCUAGUCUAUUAUUAAUGUUAUUAUUUUCAAACCACAAAUCUAUUUAUCCCUUAUUAACAUCUAUAUGCAAGUCAAUGAUUGUUUGAUUUAUUUUUAAUUAGUUAACUGGAAAUUAAUAAGUAGUGGGUAUGUAUUAGUCAAAUAUAAAAUAUUAAAAUUACACACGUAUACUUUAAUGAAAAAAUUGAACCAUAAACUGAAUGGGUUUAGACUUUGGUUUGACGAGGAAAUUUCUAGUCUGUCUCGUGAUAAUUCAUACAUUAAGCUCUAUUAUUAAUUAUUGAACACAUUGAAUAAUUUACUUGAUAUAAAGGUUAGUAUAGAAAUCUUUUGAUUUGACCAAGUCAAACAAGUAGGUGAGAAUAUUUUGUUUCAAGAAAAAUGAAUAGCAAUGUGUUAAAGGCUUAUUUAAGCAAUGACACGUGGCAUCCAUGCAAGGUAAAAUGAGACUUUGGGAGAGAAAGGUUGACUAUUUUUAAUGGCCAUUAACAAAAAUCAAAAUGACCCCCGGGAUAUGGGCAGAAGACCCAGCAGAGAUGAUAUGAAAAGUCGAUCAUAUAUAAUAAUUACAUUCUUAAAAAUCAAAUUUUAGAAUUUGAAUAUCAUUUUUCUAAUUCUUCCCUUCCACCUAAAAACGUCUAGUGGUUGAAAAUAAAUUCAAGGCCUUCAAAUUUCAUUUAUUGUGUGGUUCAACUCAAAUGAAAAAUACAAACUUUUGACACAACAUUUAAUCAUACGGUACUUGAUUUAUAUAUCCUAAUUACUUGACUUAUUUUAAAGUUAAUUCUUGCAUGUAAUUAAUUAAGAUUUAUAGUUAAAAAUAUCUAUAAAUGUAACAACAUUUAUUUGUUUUUAUGGGUGAUGGAUGAUAGUAAACCAUGAUGGUCAAAAUUAUGUUUAGUAAAGAAGUUGAAUGAACCUUUUAAUCAAGUUUAUGUAUAAAAGGAAAAGUAUGUAUUAAAGAUUAAGAAAGUAAGAAAGAGAGAAGGUUGAUGAAGACAAUUUUGAAAAUACAUAGUGAUUUAUGUAAUGACAUGUUUAUUUUUAACUAAUUUGAGAUUUUAAAAUGUGAGUAUUAUUAUUAUUUAAGUAUGACAAUCAUUACACAUAUGGGAAACAAAUUGAUGGUGACAACGGUAUUAAAUAAUACUUAAGAAGAGUUUUUAACACAUGAAAAAAAUAGGAUUUUUUUUUUUUAAUUUCAAAUAUCAUAUCUCCAAUCACAUACCUAGAUUUCAAUCGUACUCUUUUGUUAUAGAUGUCAAAAUAUUAUAUUUUGUCACACAUCCUUAAAAUUAUAUAAAUUUUCAAAUUUUCAAAAUUCAUUAAAAAGAAAAGUGUAGAGUUCACUGGUUUUAAAGAUUAGCACUAACAAUGUCGGUUUUAUACCAUAGUUUGAUAAAAUAUAGUGACUGCAUUUAUAAAAAAAAAACUUACUAAAGUGUAAAAACUGUAGUACUUCCUACAUGGUCAAAUUUACAGCUUCAUAUACUACAACAUUCAUCUAAGUUUAGGCCAAAAGGUUGUAAUUGUAAGUAGAUCUUACUAUAUUUUUUUAGAAAAAUUGAUAAUACAACACACACGAUAUAUAUAAAUGGAGAAAGAAGACUGAAAAUUUUCUAUAAGACAAAUAUAAUCUCGGAUGCACUAACUAUUUUUUGCAUAUUAAAAAAAAAGUGUAAAUAUGAUUUAGAUGGGUUAGGCAGAUGAAGAGGAAAUUAGGGUUUGUUUUAGUUGAAAAAAAGAGAGAGAAUGAGAAAGAUGAGAUUAUAUUUAGAAUUACAAAUUUGUUUACAUUUGGUAGUGCAUGGGGAGUAUCUGAUGUCAGAGCAUGCGUUGUAUCUUUUGACUUUAGAAUAAUAAUAAUAACGUUAAUGUCCCUAUCCCUACUUUUUAUUGAUAUCAUAAUAUUCUUUAAAGCCAUGCCCUUUACCUACUUCUAUAAUUCUACCCUCUUUUCUACUCUUCCUCCAUAUACAUCCCUUCCAAUAAUUUUUUCUCCACUCUAUUCUCAUUUUCUUUUUUUCCAAAUAACUUUUGAUUACAUACACACUCAUUAUCUCAUCAUAAAUGUUUGAUAGAAACAUCAUCAUCGUCAUAUUCUUGUUAAAUUACAUUUUGAUUUAAAUUUGUGGGUUUUGUUUUUUUCAAUUGAUCGUUUAUGCUAAUUUUUUUUAUUUAUGUAAGAUAACGAAUAUUGUUUUCUUUAAAUUUUAAUUAUUGUGAUUUUUUUAUAUAUUAAAAACAAUAGUAUAACAAAUUGUAAUUUAUAAAAUCUAUUAUUGUGAAUAAUUCAAAAUUCAAGCAUUAGAAAAUUCAAUUUUUAUAUUAAAUUAUGAUGUAUAAGAAUGUAGCAUGGAAUGUUCGAUAAUUAUAACAAUUUAGUUUAUAUAAGUUUAGUUAUUCGAUUACGAUAAUCAUACUAUAAAUUUAGUUAUUCAAUUAUACGAGUAAUCACAGUUAAAUUAGCAUUUUAAAUUAGUUUAGAGUAGCAAGAGAACUACAUAAUCAUUUUAAAAUGGAUUUGACAAAAUACCUUCUUCAAUUACUUGACUUCGUGUCACAUACUAUUUUUAAAUGUAUUAUAGAAAUCAUUUUGAUGUCCUCUACUUUAGGACUCGAUGCAUUCUAAUAUUGUACUUUCAAAUUUUAUGAUUUACGUGAUUGCACAAAUUUUAGCAAAGAACCUCAUCUAUGUUUGACAAAAAAAAUGUAACUUUCAAAAUGGAACAACAUAGUACGGAUAUAGUACUUACCAUAAUGAAUCUUAGGCUUUAAGUUAAUGAAAUGUUUAGGAUGUUAGACUGUUUUUUAAAGAACUAGUAAAGUUAGUUCUGGAAUGAAAACAAAGUUUUGAAUGUAAUAUAAAAUUUGAUAUUUUUAUAUUUAAGAAAGUAGUAGAGAUUUGUAUAAAGAAAUUUGAUGUGUAUUAGAGAGAGAGUAGAAAAGAAAAGAAAGGUAAAAAACUUUUAAUGAAACUUUUUGUAGAUAUAAAAAACGUAGUAGAUAGAAAAUGGUGAGAAAGUAGAGGAAUGAAAGAAGGAGUGAAUGUAAAAAUGGUGGAACGAUAGAAUAGAGAAAUGAAGAAAUGGUAAAAAAAAGAAGAAGAGGGGGGGAAGGGGGAGUGUUGGGAAAAGGAAAGGCAAAGGGAAGGGGGAGAUGACGUGGGCCAAUGAGAAGGGGAAGAGAAAGGUGGGACCCAGAAAAGAGAAGAGAAAAAGUAGAUUUUGAGUUUUUGGGUCCUCAACCCAUCCCCAUGGAUCGAGGCAAUCAGGGAAGCCUUGGAAGAAAGCGAAAAAGUUUAAAUACCCCACAAAAUAACAAUAACAGUAAUAAUAAAUAAUUAUAUAUAUAUAUAUACAUAUAUAUAUUUUAAAUUUUUAAAAAAAGAAUUAUAUAAUAAUAAUAAUAAUAAUAAUAGAAAUAAUAAUAAUAAAAUAAUGAAGGGUGAAGGGUGAAGGGUGAAGGUGACUAGUCGCAGACAAUAGCAAUCAUUAGUACGGUCCCCUUCCCCUUCCCCUUCUAAUUUAUAGGUUCCCCAUUUUCUCUAUUAUUCCCACACUUUCUUUAAAUCAAUCAAAUUUUAUUUUUCCCUAAUAUCUCACGGCCACUUUCCUAAUAUUACUUUUCUUUUUCUUUUUUAAAUUAUUUCAUUUUAUUUAUUAAAAAAACAAAAAGCAAUAUUUUUACUAAGCUCUCUGUUUUUAAUCUAAUUUAAAAAUCAGAAAAACAAAAACACAAUAAGUGUUAUCCACUAGAGUUUUAACUUUUAGGUUGGAGAGAUUUUAUUAUAUGGUUCUUGUAUAUACCAAUAUAGCUCAUGAGUUACACUUCCAUAAUGCCAUAUUAAUUAACAUUUUCGUUAUAUUAUAUGUCUGUGCAAGAUCUUACAUAUGUUGGACUUUACAACGACUGUUUAAUGGACCUUUGGCUUACUUUUCUUUUAGGAGAGUCAACCAAAAACUGAAAAGUUAGACCAAUCUAAAUUAAUCUCAACUCGUUUAUUUUUGGGUUUUAGUAAAAAUAAAAAUAGACAUUUUGGUUUGCAUUUGAAGAAAACAAAAAUAUAUUGGUUUGAACGUUUUAAUUAAUUUGAUGGACAAACUAAUAAAAUCCAAAUCCAACCUUUGCAUAGGUGUUAUUUAGAAAAUUUAUACAAAUUACUCAUGUUAAAAUUCUUUAACACAAAGGAACAAUGUUAUUGACGUAGUUAAACGAGACUAUUUUAUAGGCAAGUUCUUUAACACAAAAGCACAAUUACAUGUGUUAGUAUUGAUAUCAUUGGUGUUUCUAAUACUGAACGUGUAUAAUGUCAAUCCAACUCAUAACUUUUGAGUUUUUGCUUACCAAAUUAUUGAGUUGUUGUCAACACAUGUAAGAAUUCAAAUUAGAGACUUAACCUCUAGACAUAUUGAUAAGUUAAGAACUAUACUACAUAUUUAUUACACUCACGUAAAAGCUCAACGACUAAGAUCGUAUCAUACCAAUAUUGUUUAUUACCUUUUUUUCUUUUUUACAACAAAACAAAAAUAAGGAAAUGAGUAUUGAAACUUUCAACCCUAUAACAGAAUCUGAUCCAUAUUUUAAUUAGUGGAGUAUAUUGGAUUGAAUAAUAAUUCAAAAUUUGUCACCUCUUUAAGUUAGUCACGUUUAUUUUUUGAAAAAAUGAUGGAAUAGGUUAAUGUUGUAGCUAUAUAGCUAGCUAGCUAAUAUAGGAACAUAAAUUAUAUCUCAAUUAAUAAUUGAAUUGUUAUUUUGGGAUGUCAUGAAAUAAUUUUAGCAUGUAUUAGUUAUAAUUCGUUACAAUUGUUUUAUUUAUUACCGUGCAUUAUUAAUUUAUUGCAUAUGCUCAAAUAAUAUAUGUAUAAUUAUUGGAUGGGUUUUCUUCUUCUUCUUCACUUAUAUAAUUGGCCACAUUUAAUUUUAUUGUUUUUAGAUAUAAAUACAUAUUUCCAUUUUUAUCUUAUUUAAAUUAAAAUGGGUAAAUAUUAAAUUAUGUGUUUUCUCAAGGCUUUUAUGAUAUACCUAUUUUGUAUGUUACUCUCUAGAUCUUAUUGAGCUUUCAGUUUUGUAUUUAUGGUAUCGUUGAAGCUAAGAAGAAGUUUUAGAAUGAGUGUUAAAUUUUUUAAGUUAUAUUUGAUUAAUUGGCCAUUUUAAUUAACUUAAUAAAUCCAAGGAAAUGCAUGUGAUGCUAAUAGUAUUGCUUAAAUAUAUUGUGCAAAAUUCAAAGUAUGUUUAAGCGUAACAUGGUUAACUAUAUAUAAUCUCGUUACAUUGGAACAUUGGUAAAGUUUUAAUAUGAUUAGGAAAAAAAUGUUUGUGUUGAGAACCCAAAGAACUGAUAAAAAAUUUAAGCUUAAAUAUACAUUACCAUAUUGUUAUGAGACAGACAUACCUAAGAAAUCAUCUUAUAUGUAGAAACUAAAUAAACACAAAUUAAAAUUUAAAAGUUCAUUGUUUAAAAUUGUAUAGGACGAAUAAAAUAGAGCAUAAUUAAAUUGAGAUACAACUUAUUGAGAGAUUCAAACUUCUCACCCCACGUAAUGUUAAAAUAUAAAUUUAUAUUUAUAUAAAUUUUUUUACUAGUUUUACAAACUUCCAAUCUUAUCGACAGAUCUUCUAAAAACAAACUAAAAGUAAAUACUUUUAGACUGUUUGAAGAAUUGGAAUACAAUCAAAUUACAAUAAGGAAAAAAUUUAUCAAGGGACUAGAGGACACACACCAUAUUAACAUUCUCGAUUUUUAUAUUAUAUUAAGUAAUAUUUUAUUACGAUUAAAUUAUGCCUUUGACAUUGUGUCCUCUCUUCAAAAUCUCAAGAAACAAGAUUAAAAUACAUGAAAAUUUGAGAGCAAAACAAAAAUAGAAAGUAGUAGAAAAGAUGAUCGAAUUGAAAACUAAGGAGGAAUGAAAUAGGUUUUGUAUCGAACACGUAGCACAAAACUCCAAAUCCAAACAUGAGUUUGGAUUAUUUAAUUCACUAUGGUCUAGAGAACAACUCAUUAACAUUUGAAGAGGUUUUUAAGUGAAGGAGUGGUUUGGUCCAAAAAGUUGGUGACCGUGGAACCUAAAAAUAUGAAAAUUAUGGUGUGUGAAGUUAUUGAGGGUAUGAGAGUUUUGGUGAUUUUGUAAGUGCCACCAAACUUUAUAAGUAGUACAAUUAUUGUUCCAACAAUCUCACAUAUUAGAAAAAGAAGGAAAGAAAAGUAAAUAUAUGUAAGGGGGGGAAGUAGAGAAGUAGAGAAGUAGAGAAGUAGAGAAGUAGAAAGUAAAAUGAAAAAUAGAAAAAGAAAAGGGAAAGGCGUGGGAAUGACAGAAAGUCAAUUUUCAUAAUUGCAUUUCAUUGGUCCAAUCAAUUAUCAUUCAAACUCCAUCCUCUCCCAAAUCAUUUGGAUCUUCUCGGUCCCACCUUCCCUUUUCAAAUCUAUCUCUAAAUAUAACAACAUUACUACAUCUUCCCACGUCCCAACUCUUCUCCCCCACUCAUUCUAACUCUCUACCAAUUUCAAAACAAAACAAAUGGGUACUUACAAAAUUCUUCUCAACAUUCAAAUACGUAGUUACACUAUGAAGCACAAUUUACAAUAUUUAUACCAUAUCCUCCACAUUGUCAAUGAUACUAUUCUUAUAUCACUUUCAAUUAUUUAUAAUCUUCUAAUAAUAAAUCAUUUGAAAAUUUACCAAUUGAGAACUGAAUUUUAGGUCCAUUUAUAAAGAUUAAUUGUGAUUUUAAUUUCAUAUAUAUUGGAGGCUGUUAGCCCAUCAGUAGAUGUGACCAAUCACAUCACAAGCGCAGGUUUUAAGGGCUUCUUUUUUGCACUUACUUUUAUUUACUCUUUCAAAAUGUUUAUUAUCGGAGAAUGAGCAUUUAGUCAUAAAAUAACAUUUUUACUUCAUUUCUAAGAUAAAUAUAGAAAGAAAUUGAAAUUAUAAGGAGUGUUUAUAGACAUAUUUUUCAAAAGCUAAAACCAUUCAAGUCAUGGGAGCUAAUAAACUAAAACUGAAAUUACACAAUCAAAAGGAAGCAAAGUAAGAAGGAUGAAUGUAAAUAAAAUUUGAAUAAAUAAUAAUAUAAUUUGAUACGAUUAUUUGGUGGGGCCCGGUCAAAGAGAAGUCCUUAAACCGACAAAGAAACGUGCAAUGACCACUUCCUUCCUCUUCAGAUCAUAAAACAUUUCCCCUUUUUCUUUGCCUUUCAUUUUAUUUUAUUUUUUCAAAUGUUUCGCAAAUCUCCACUUUUCCAUUGCACGUGCGAGACCCAUCUACUUCUAAAUCUCUCAUUGGGUUGGGCUUUUCUUCCUCCCCCGAAAACAUCGGCCCACCUCUCCCCUAUUGGGCCCGGCCCCCUUUAUUUUUUCUUCUCACCCUUAAAUACUCUUCUUAUAUACCAUCGUAGAUAUGUUCAAGUCUUUUCAACAUCAUAUAUUCAAAAAUAGCAUUACUUCUCAUACUGCAUUCCUAAUAUAUAUUCAAUUUCCAAUCAACUUCCAAAUACAACCAUGCCAUUUUCGGCUUCAUUUCCUAUUCAACUUCCAUCCUCUAUACAUAAAGAACUUACUCCAUAAAAUCAUUAUUUUUUUAAUACAAAUAAUAAUUUUAAUGCAACCAAAGACUUUUCCAACAUUAGAUUUAUUAAAAUUAAAUUAAUAUAUAUAUAUAUAUAUAUAAAUACACAUCCAAAUAACAUCUACAAGUUCAACUAUAAUUUAUUACAUAGCGGAUUCUUCUUAUUCCAAUUUUUAAAAAUCUUUUUAAUCAUUUUUCUUGGUAUAAAUGAUACAGCUAAGUAGUGAAUAAUUCUUUCAAAAUUUAUAAAGAAAAGUGUGCAUUUCACUCUGAUAAAAAAAAAGGGAUAGUCAAAACUAUAAUCUAGAAAAUUAGGUGGGAAAAACAACCUGUGCUCGUCAAAAUUUGACCUUACCUUGAGAAACAGAAUUCAGCUCUGUGAAGAAUAUCGGUUAAGUGCAGCAGCAGGCUCCAGGAGUCAAAGGGGGUGAUGCAAUGCCUGAAGAUGUGAAUUAUUAACGUUACCAAACCCAUACUCUUUUCGGGCUAGGCAGGUGUGAUACUCACCCACAAAUACUUCUUUCUUUUACUUACCUUUCCAUUUUUAGGCCGCUGCCAUCGUCACAAUGUUCCUCAUAACAAUGGGUCCUGACGUCUAGCACUUUUAUGAAAUGUGUUCCAUUAGAAAAACACAAAGAUCUGAACCAAACACAGCCCUCUCUAAUAAUAUAUAAAAACAAGUGAAAUGAAUGCAUAUAAAGACCAAAGGAUUAAUAAUAAAUAUGAACAAAAAGAACAGAUAGAAGAACAAACUUCUUACACAAGGGUUAGUUCUGUACACUAAUAAGAUGUAUCUAUUCUUAUUUAAGUCAGACCCAUAAAGGAAAAGGAUUAAAGAAAAGUUACUAAACUACAUAAACUGAAAAGUCAAAUCUCUAAAAUUAAUCCUAAUGCAAAUAUUUUGCACAAAUUCACCUCAGUUGACC
rnacentral:lncRNA from 1 species